CUACGGGAGGCUCCAGUGAGGAAUAUUGGUCAAUGGGCGCGAGCCUGAACCAGCCAUCCCGCGUGCAGGAUGACGGCCCUAUGGGUUGUAAACUGCUUUUCUAUGCCAAGAAACCUGAUUACGUGUAAUCAGUUGCCGGUAGCAUAGGAAUAAGCAUCGGCUAACUCCGUGCCAGCAGCCGCGGUAAUACGGAGGAUGCAAGCGUUUUCCGGAUUCAUUGGGUUUAAAGGGUGCGCAGGUGGGCUUGUAAGUCAGUGGUGAAAUGCUGCCGCUUAACGGUAGAACUGCCAUUGAUACUGCGAGUCUAGAGUAUGGUUGAGGUAGGCGGAAUGUGUUGUGUAGCGGUGAAAUGCAUAGAUAUGACACAGAACGCCAAUUGCGAAGGCAGCUUACUAAGCCAUUACUGACGCUGAGGCACGAAAGCGUGGGGAGCGAACAGGAUUAGAUACCCUGGUAGUC
rnacentral:rRNA from 1 species